rnacentral:lncRNA from 1 species
GUGGAAAGUAUUAGAAACAUGAUUGUGUUUGCAAAGGGAGACAUAAACGUUAAGACCAGAGGAUCUGAAUAAAAAAGUAGCAGGAUCCUUGCUCUGAUCUUUCCUGACAUUUCCCAAAUCCACAAGGCAGAGGGCAUGGUGCAGGGUUGGAGAGUAAACUGUUCCAUACUCAGCUCUCAAUGAGGAGCACCGGCAAGCUAGUUUUUGCAGGCAGAUGGGGAAAUUGAGGCAGAGAAGCCAAGACAUGUGCUAAAGGUCAUGCAGGCUAUGAAUGGAGCUGGAAUGUGAACGCAGGCCAUAUGACCCCAGAGCCCAUGUUCUUGAACCCUUAGAAAGACAGCAGCAACACACCUGGUGCAGCAGCUGCUUAGUUGGAGUGGCUGACAAGGUUGGCAGAGGAUCCCGUUCCUCCCGUGGAGUGGCUGCCAUGAUACUGCCUGCACUGAAGCUGCUCCUAUUUCUGAAAUAUGUAUUGUUAUUUUUUUCCCUGCAUGUUGAACAUUAUACUCUUCUGUUCUUUCGCAUUCUCUUCUUCCCUUCCGGAUGACUUCUAGGGUUUUUGUGAUUCUGUAAUUCUAAAGGAGAAAGGAUAAUAAGAAUUGUGAGGCCGGGCGCGGUGGCUCAUGCCUGUAAUCACA